ACUACUUUCCUUGUUUUUCUCGGAGUGAAUGGAAUACUAACCUAAUUGGCUCAGAAGAAGAAGACUGCAGCAGAAGACUGGCUACAUUUACUUACUAAAUAAGUAAGUCUCAUUGGCUUCCUACUUCACGGGGGGGGCUUGGAAAGAAAGCCAGCAGGAGCAGGAAGCAAGUUCUUCUAGCUGCACGUGGAAUGCAAAUGUCCAAAUCUUGCGCGUGGGAAAUAAAUCGAAUUUCUGAGGGUUAAAUGAAGAUCCCGUCAGUAUGGGGAAGGAGGCCCGGCCAGUGCUGGUGAAAACAGAGAGAAUCAUUCCUGCAACAGAGAGGGCCAUCUGGGCACUCAGGGUGUCCCUGGGACUUCUGGCUUCUCUGGGCCCACGGUAGCAUUUGCUGGCGGUAGAAAAGCGGUUCUUGCUGGGUUAUUCUCACUGGUGCCUGCAGAGCUAUGAAAACAGGGAGGACAGCGCCGUCCGCCUCCUGGACAUUGAAGCCUCGGCUGGAAGUAGCGGUCCCCGAGAGCCUGCGCUCCGCAGCUUGUUUUGGCCUUCAGAAAAAACGCUUUCUUUCUGCAGCUUAACUGCUUGGCCCUCAGGGCAGCCAGCUGUCGGACGCUGCUUGAGCAGAGGUCGUGGAGGGGUGAGCACAGGGAAACCUUUUAAUGCAUAUUUUAUACACUUCACAUCACUAAUGGGAGCUACACAAACAGAUCCAUUUGAAUAUCCACCCCCUGGGGCUAUAUUUCUGUCACGAGUUUUCUGGUAACAGCAAGGAUCAAAAACUAAGAUGGUUCUUUUAAACACACCUGACUGACCAAAAAUAUGCAUAAGUAAGUAUUCUGCACUACUGCUGUAUAUUUUAUUAUUCUUAUUGUUUCCUUUUUGAAUUCUUUUUUAAGCUUUAUUGAGGUAUAAUUGAUAAAUAAAAAUGUAUUUAAGGUGUGCAAUGUGAUAUUUUGAUAUAUGUAUACAUUGUAAAAUAAUCACCACAAUCAAGCUAAUUAGCAUUAAAUUGAUUUUACAUAUUUUUGAUUCUCUAUAUUUUAAAUUAGAAAAAAAUUAGCCUUGGUUUUGAUAAAAGAAAAACUUCAGCUGGAUCACAUUUAAAGGCGUCUGAGUAACGAACAAUUUGUGAAUGGGGCGGCCUUCUCAGCCAGGGUAGGCUCAGAGACCCCAGCGCAGCCAUGCGGGAGAAGAAGAUUUAUGGAAAAAGGAACGUGAGGAACAGAAAACAGAAGUGAGGUACAGAAACAGCUGGAUGGGUGGCAGCUCGGCGUUUGCCUUGUGUGAACACGGUUUGAACGUCUGGCUACAUUUGGCCGAAACUCAGUGACUGGCACAGGUGUAGGCUACAGUCGGUUACGCCUCCACCUGUUAUCAUUCACGAGGUGCAGAAAAACCUUUAGGCCGAACUUAAAUGUGUAAGGAGGCAGCUUAGGGCUAACCUUGAUUUAACAGUUUCACAUAUGUCAACAAAAGUGUAAACAACGUAAUUUAAGCAAUAGAGAAGAGAGGUCAUCUAAGAAGAGAAAUGGCAUUUAUAAGAACCACUUGGCAUUAACUGUAUUUUUGUAGAAGAUGACUUUUCUUAUGGUAUUAUUUUAAAAGUGUUCAAGUGAUAUCAAAGCUGCCAUUGUUAAAAUUAAAAAAAUCCUAAUGCGGAUACUUACAAAUGUCUAAUAUCCCAAUACUUCAAUAAUAUCCCAAUACUUUAGUAUGUACCCCAAAUGUUAUGUGGCAUUUUAUAAAAUUGUUAUAUCAUCUUGCUGGGGUAUUCUUGUCACUCACCAUUACGGAAGGGAAAGCCGACUCGGAGAGGAGUGGGUAUUUGUUCUUCUUCACAGCAUUGAUAACUAGUAGAUCCAGGACCGAGAGAGCUCUUUUUAUAUCCCUGAAAUGUUUUGUGUGUUUGAAAUGUAUUGAUGAUUAAAAAUGUUCUUCCUCUCUGAUGAAGUAGAGCCAUAGUGACCACAAAAGAAACUGAUUUAGAACAGUUUCUUCUAACGCUUUCCCCUUGGACUUGACCGUGGGUAUGUCUGAAUGUUUCUGAGCUGGCUCCAAGCCUGAAUGAGCCCAAGCAGGUCACGAAAUUGAAAGGAUUAUAAAGCCCUGUAUCAGAAAAGGAGGAGAAACCCGGGGAGUAGCCGUUAGUGGCGGCAUACGCCAAUACGCUCCAGUCCACGCUUUUCCGAGCCUGCCAGCAUCCGCAGCCUCUCCCGCUCGCAGAGGUUGUUAGACACCCCAGGCUUGGCUCAGUCCUGCUGCCCAGUUGGAAUCAAAUAUCAAGAGAGAGGCAAACACUGGAAGGAGUAUGACCUUCUACAGCAAGACAGCAAAGGUGUAAAGGAGAGAAGGAUGCUACAUAGCACGUGUAUUUUAAAGAAAUGCAAAUAUUAAACGAGAAAAAAGGAGUAUUAGUUUUUUUUAAAAUGGGAGUGUACAGGUAUGCAACGACAUGAGAAAACAACACAACACAAAACAACUUUGCUGGUUCUUCAGUUAAAAUGUACACAGUGGCUCCAAUAGAAAUGAAUGCCGUAUUGAAUUGCUCAUGGAGUUGAAACUUAAACUCAUGACUAGUGUUUGAUGCAUUUUGCUUAAAUCACCAAAUACAAGCAACCCUUUGAAUUGAACUGUUUUAUCCCUUCUACUAUAAAU